UGAGUUGUAGCUCAGUGAUAGAGUACUUACCUCACAUGCACAAGGUCCUGGGUUCAAUCUGCAGUAACUCAC
rnacentral:tRNA from 1 species